rnacentral:rRNA from 1 species
CCUACGGGAGGCAGCAGUGAGGAAUAUUGGUCAAUGGACGAGAGUCUGAACCAGCCAAGUAGCGUGAAGGAUGACUGCCCUAUGGGUUGUAAACUUCUUUUAUAUGGGAAUAAAAUGUUCCACGUGUGUGAUUUUGUAUGUACCAUAUGAAUAAGGAUCGGCUAACUCCGUGCCAGCAGCCGCGGUAAUACGGAGGAUCCGAGCGUUAUCCGGAUUUAUUGGGUUUAAAGGGAGCGUAGGUGGAUUGUUAAGUCAGUUGUGAAAGUUUGCGGCUCAACCGUAAAAUUGCAGUUGAAACUGGCAGUCUUGAGUACAGUAGAGGUAGGCGGAAUGCGUGGUGUAGCGGUGAAAUGCUUAGAUAUCACGAAGAACUCCGAUUGCGAAGGCAGUUCACUGGACUGCAACUGACACUGAGGCUCGAAAGUGUGGGUAUCAAACAGGAUUAGAUACCCCUGUAGUC